rnacentral:rRNA from 1 species
GACAGAGGGUGCAAACGUUGCUCGGAAUCACUGGGCGUAAAGCGCACGUAGGCGGAUUUGUCAGUCAGGGGUGAAAUCCCGGGGCUCAACCUCGGAACUGCCUUUGAUACAGCAAGUCUUGAGUUCGAGAGAGGUGGGUGGAAUUCCUAGUGUAGAGGUGAAAUUCGUAGAUAUUAGGAAGAACACCGGUGGCGAAGGCGGCCCACUGGCUCGAUACUGACGCUGAGGUGCGAAAGCGUGGGGAGCAAACAGG